rnacentral:rRNA from 1 species
GAGGGAUGACGGCCUUCGGGUUGUAAACCUCUUUCACCAGGGACGAAGCUUUUGUGACGGUACCUGGAGAAGAAGCACCGGCCAACUACGUGCCAGCAGCCGCGGUAAUACGUAGGGUGCGAGCGUUGUCCGGAAUUACUGGGCGUAAAGAGCUCGUAGGCGGUUUGUCGCGUCGUCUGUGAAAUUCUGCAGCUUAACUGCAGGGCGUGCAGGCGAUACGGGCAGACUUGAGUACUACAGGGGAGACUGGAAUUCCUGGUGUAGCGGUGAAAUGCGCAGAUAUCAGGAGGAACACCGGUGGCGAAGGCGGGUCUCUGGGUAGUAACUGACGCUGAGGAGCGAAAGCGUGGGUAGCGAACAGGAUUAGAUACCCUGGUAGUCCACGCCGUAAACGGUGGGUACUAGGUGUGGGGCUCAUUUCACGAGUUCCGUGCCGUAGCUAACACAUUAAGUACCCCGCCUGGGGGAGUACGGCCGCAAGGCUAAAACUCAAAGGAAUUGACGGGGGCCCGCACAAGCGGCGGAGCAUGUGGAUUAAUUCGAUGCAACGCGAAGAACCUUACCUGGGUUUGACAUACACCA